CCCGUGGGAACCUGGUGCUGGCGGUGGUGAGGGACUGCACUGCUGCCUCAUCUUUAGCCUCAGCCUCUACUUCAUCCUGGAUGCCUGCAGCCUCUGCACAUGGAGAGACGAGAGCCCUGGUGCCCCCAAGGGACAGCGAGGGGUGACCUACGCUGAGGUGCCAGCUGUCAUCCCGUGCUCCCAGCCUCCCAGUUCCCCCACUGUCCCCGGUCCCCCAUUAUUUCCACCAAAGUGAGCACUGGGGGAUCACAUGAUGGACCUCACUUGGUCUCUCUUCCUUUUCGGUCUCAGUAAAUAAAUUUUAUCUCCACCGAUGAA